rnacentral:rRNA from 1 species
UAGGGAAUCUUCGGCAAUGGGGGGAACCCUGACCGAGCAACGCCGCGUGAGUGAAGAAGGUUUUCGGAUUGUAAAGCUCUGUUGUUAAGGAAGAACGAGUGUGAGAAUGGAAAGUUCAUGCUGUGACGGUACUUAACCAGAAAGGGACGGCUAACUACGUGCCAGCAGCCGCGGUAAUACGUAGGUCCCGAGCGUUGUCCGGAUUUAUUGGGCGUAAAGCGAGCGCAGGCGGUUAGAAAAGUCUGAAGUUAAAGGCAGUGGCUCAACCAUUGUAGGCUUUGGAAACUGUUUAAAUUGAGUGCAGAAGGGGAGAGUGGAAUUCCAUGUGUAACGGUGAAAUGCGUAGAUAUAUGGAGGAACACCGGUGGCGAAAGCGGCUCUCGGGUCUGUAACUGACGCUGAGGCUAGAAAGCGUGGGGAGCGAACAGG